UACGGAGGGUGCAAACGUUGCUCGGAAUCAUUGGGCGUAAAGCGCGCGUAGGCGGUCCAGCAAGUCGGGUGUGAAAGCCCUCGGCUUAACCGAGGAAGUGCAUUCGAAACUACUGGACUUGAGUACUGAAGAGGAUCGCGGAAUUCCCGGUGUAGAGGUGAAAUUCGUAGAUAUCGGGAGGAACACCAGUGGCGAAGGCGGCGAUCUGGGCAGAUACUGACGCUGAGGUGCGAAAGCGUGGGGAGCAAACAGG
rnacentral:rRNA from 1 species